ensembl:snRNA U2 U2 spliceosomal RNA
AUCGCUUCUCGGCCUUUUAGCUAAGAUCAAGUGUAGUAUUUGUUCUUAUCGGUAGAAGAAAACACAGCGGAAAACAUCAGUCCUGAUGGCGACUGAUUUCUUGGUUAUGACCCAAA